rnacentral:rRNA from 2 species
CAAGUCGAGCGGACAGAUGGGAGCUUGCUCCCUGAUGUUAGCGGCGGACGGGUGAGUAACACGUGGGUAACCUGCCUGUAAGACUGGGAUAACUCCGGGAAACCGGGGCUAAUACCGGAUGGUUGUUUGAACCGCAUGGUUCAAACAUAAAAGGUGGCUUCGGCUACCACUUACAGAUGGACCCGCGGCGCAUUAGCUAGUUGGUGAGGUAACGGCUCACCAAGGCAACGAUGCGUAGCCGACCUGAGAGGGUGAUCGGCCACACUGGGACUGAGACACGGCCCAGACUCCUACGGGAGGCAGCAGUAGGGAAUCUUCCGCAAUGGACGAAAGUCUGACGGAGCAACGCCGCGUGAGUGAUGAAGGUUUUCGGAUCGUAAAGCUCUGUUGUUAGGGAAGAACAAGUACCGUUCGAAUAGGGCGGUACCUUGACGGUACCUAACCAGAAAGCCACGGCUAACUACGUGCCAGCAGCCGCGGUAAUACGUAGGUGGCAAGCGUUGUCCGGAAUUAUUGGGCGUAAAGGGCUCGCAGGCGGUUUCUUAAGUCUGAUGUGAAAGCCCCCGGCUCAACCGGGGAGGGUCAUUGGAAACUGGGGAACUUGAGUGCAGAAGAGGAGAGUGGAAUUCCACGUGUAGCGGUGAAAUGCGUAGAGAUGUGGAGGAACACCAGUGGCGAAGGCGACUCUCUGGUCUGUAACUGACGCUGAGGAGCGAAAGCGUGGGGAGCGAACAGGAUUAUAUACCCUGGUAGUCCACGCCGUAAAACGAUGA